UCGGGGACAGGUUUUUGUCCUCUCCGCUUCCUCUGCUUUCUGACGACGGAGUUUCCUGGAGGGCGAGAGGAAGAGGGGAAUGGUGAAUCUGAGGCGACGUUUUGCUCGAUGCUUGCGGAGCUCUUUCGCGCCGCCUAUUCCGGUGAUUUCCCGGCGUUUCUACCCCUCGCCGACCAUGUUUCUGUGGCUCGGUAGCUCGCUGAAUUUUUUGGGUCUUAUCGGUGGCUCGGCUGUGGCGGAGACGGCAGAGGCGAGGUGGGUGGUUCUAUCAUUUUGCUUCGUCGGCGGUGAGGUCUAGCCGGCUGACCGGUGAGUUUGCUCCUUCUAUUUCACUCGUUCGGUUCGUUUUGCUCUCUGGUGAUUUGGAAUGGAUGAUUUGCUCCCCCUUUUGGUGGCUCGGAACGGACUUGGCGAUGCGAUGUUCCGUGCUUGUCGGCGACGACGUCUGCUCGUGCCAGUCAAGGGGGCGGGGUGAGGUGGAGAGCUGAUUUUCCCGUCGUUGCCGGCGGUGGAGAUUUGCUCGCCGGAAAACCGCUGUGAGCUUCCCCCUUCUCACUCGUUCCUCUCUAAUGGCUUUUAGCUGUUCUCUGUCUUGCGUUUCGCCGUUGAGGGGGGGGGGGGCUGGAUUUGGUGAGGAUAAGAAAGUACAGGAGAGGCGAGGGUUCCGUGCUCGGCGACGGUGUUGCUUGCGGUCAGUUGUUGCCGUUGUUUUUACCCGGGAGAGUGGAGAGGUGGAGUGGCCAUUCGCUGCUUGUGAGUGGAUUUGUGAGGUGAACUCAGUACACAGGAGGCGUUUUUGCUGCUUGUGUGCUCGUCACCGGCGAGGUUUUGGUCUGGGGUUGGGGCGGCGCUCCUUUUGAACUUUUGCUGUUGUUUUACCGCUGAUUUUUGCUCUCCCUGUCGGUGAUCUGUGUAGGUAAAGACUAGAUGCUCAUUAAUUAGAACGGAAUUUGCAUCUAUUUUCGUCAUCGACGGCUUAGGAGGGUCACCACCUCGCAGUAAGCGCGGUGCUAAUUACGUCUCCAUUUAUCUGGGCUGUUGUAUCUUCCUCUGUUCUGGUUUAUUUGGUCCCAUCAGCAAGAACGGAACAGCAGGUAUCUGCAGUAUGACAAAGCGUCUUUGGUGAUUUUCAUCCCCAUGGUUUUGAUGCCAACAGUGAUAGUGUCUUUUGUGAAUGUGAUUGUUGCCUGGAUGCAGUAGGGUGUAGGUGGGGUUUGAUAUUCAGUUCAGUUUAAUAUGGUUAUGUGUUCCUGUUACCUGGACUUGUAUUGUCUGAAGCAUGGUUUGACAGUCAUAUCAUGUGCUUUGAUAGAAGUGUUAUGCCCUUUACCCCAAGGGCAAAGUUUGAUGAGUUCUUCUUUUUCUCAGUUUGAUCUGUAAUUUUUGGGCCACAUCUUUUGUGUUGGCUUUUUUAUUUUCCUUUCACUUAUUUUCAAUGCUGCAAUUCCAGUAUCCCCUAAUAGCAAUUGCAGCUUAUUACCAAUUCUGUGAAGAUAUGGUCAUUGGACCGAAGUAGGAGCCCAUAAGAAUCUCAGAGUUCAAGCCCUGUGCAGAAAAUAGCCCAUUAGUGAAUUUGGAGCGUUUUGGGACAUUGCUUGAAUGGUCUUCGGGAAAGUGUCUGGAAUUUUCCCCAAUUCCAUUCGAUUUGAACUAGGACAAAUCUGGGCCAUCGGAUGAUUUUUGCACCUUGUAUAUGUUCAAACGAUAGUUCUCUUUUACAAUUUCAAGUCGUAGAGAAUUUUGUUGAAAUUGCAAUAAAUUUGUAUGGGCUUCGCACCCUGUAGCUGUACAAAUUAAUCGCGUCUCUUUUUAAUUUUUUCAUUUGAAGGGGAUAUUAGUUGAAAUUGCAUCCAAAUUAUAUGGUUUUUGCACCCCGUAGCUGUGCAAAUUGCAGCUAUGCAUUUCCAAUCUUAUUUUUUGCAAAGCUUUUUUUAGAAAUGCAUCUGCAAUCUUGGGUGGUUUUUAUCCUUUAAAUUUUAUUUCUGGUUUUAGCUCGCAAGUUCUGGUGGUUGCCGGCCACUCGCAGGUAAGGAUCAUGCACUCUUAUGCAGGUAGCGGGCCACUCAUUAUAGGGCUGCUUCUCAAUUUUUGUGCUUCUUAAUUACUUAAUUCAAUCUAUUUUUGCUGUGUUCAAAGGGCUGUUAAAAUCACAGAGAUGCCCCCACCUACUCACAUUUUCCCCUGCUGCUUAUCUUCCAGCUAUCCAGAUUUUACACUCCAGCUUUGAAAUCGCACCUGUAGCUAUCCAGAUCGUGAAGUCCAGAUUGGAGGCCUUUUUCAUGCCCAUUUUGCAAUCAUAUUGUAUUGUUUGAGAAUUAGUGGGUGGACUCAUGAAUAGCCCCAGCCCAAUCCUGAAUAGACCCAGGUACACAUUUUUUGCCCUGUCGUGUUACCUUUUUCUUGCACGUACAAAUGAAUUCUAAACAAAUUCUGUAGUGGCUUUUUUGAGCCAUUUCCUGCACCUUGUUCAGUUAGUUAUGGGUAACUUACUGCAUGUAGCACACACUAUGCGCAAUUCAAUGUCUUAUAUAUGAGAUGCAUUUGCAUUUGUUUGUCUACUGUUAAUGAUAGGUACAAAGUGCAAUUCUCCAGAUUUUAAUUAUCACAAUGCUUGUCCCAUUCUGAUCUUUUUUUCUCAAUUGCACUUAAUUCACUAUGCGCAAUCGGAUGUCAUACAAAAUGCAAUUGCAUCUAUCCCUGAUAUAGCAAACCUGUAAUUUGGCGUUCGCUUUUUUGUCGAUUCCUUGUUCUUGUCGAGAGGAUGGAAGCUUUUUUUGGAUUCUUUUGUCUGAAUUUGUCCUAGUAUCAAAUUGCAAAAAUCUGUAGAUCAAGGCACUUUGAGUUCAUUCCAUGGUUUUUGUCACCCAGCUAGGCUAGUGUUGUUUUUAUCUGGCAUGCGGGGGGCAAUAUCUAUAGGGUAUGAUGGUUAGAUGGUUCUUGUUAUGCUGGCUAAAAAGUUUCGCAAGGGAAGCUAGAGCCCCACUUGAAUCACUAAUAAAAAGGUACACUUUUUUUGACCUGUUGUGUAUGCUUUUUAUAAACAUUUUUGUUCACAGCAAGAUCAAUUGCAUGUAGUUUAUUUUGCGCAGUCUGGCACAUAAUUAGAUGCAAUUGCAGCAGCUCCUUUCUUGAAUUGCAUCCCCAUAUUUUUGGGAUACUUUUGUCCCUUUUUUUGGUCUGCGCAACCUGGUACUCAAUCUGGUCCCAUUCUUUGUUUGUAAAUACUGAAUAUCAAGUGCACUUUGAAGGUUUUAAUCAACACAAAAAAUUGCCUAUUCUGAUCAUUUUUAAUUGAACGUAGUUCAUUGCACUAGUUCACCAUGCGCAAUCGGUUGUCAUACGAAACGCAAUUGCAUUUGUAUUUGACUGGAAUUGCAAACCUGUAAGUUGGCAUCCCUUUUUCCUGUCAUUUCUUUGUUCUUUUCCAGAGGAUGGAAGCUUUUUUGAGUUCUUUUUUGUCUUAAUUUGUCACUGAGUAGUCACAGUGUGUCUUAUCCAAAGAGCAUAAAUCUGGUUAUGGGUCGAUCAGGCCACUGUUCUGUGCUAGUGUUUUCAUUUCUUUAUGUGCCUAGUUUGCAUCAAACUAUCAGGCGACUGUUUUCUUCUGUUUUUCUAGGCGCCUGGUUUCUUCCAUCCUGUUGGGGUCACAAAGCAGGCGCCUGUUUUGGUAUCCAAAAACAGGCGCCUGUUGUAUAGACAGACCCCUGCUUUGACAAGCUUUGCCCGGCGCCGGUGGCCCGUGUUUGGGUCGUUCAAAUGCUUGUUGCGGCCGCAUUCAAAGACCUAUUUAUAACUUUUAUUACUUUCAAGACUCGUUGUAUGAUAAUAGAUGAUCGGACCUUUAUGUAAAAAGAGGUUACGGGCUCCUUUUUUCUAGAAUCACCUGUAACUUUAUUCGAACUCAAAAAAUAUUUCAAGUAUAGUGCUUCGGAUCAUAGACACAAGAAA